AACGAACGCUGGCGGCAUGCCUAACACAUGCAAGUCGAACGAGACCUUCGGGUCUAGUGGCGCACGGGUGCGUAACGCGUGGGAACCUGCCCUUAGGUUCGGAAUAACUCCCCGAAAGGGGUGCUAAUACCGGAUAAUGUCUUCGGACCAAAGAUUUAUCGCCUUUGGAUGGGCCCGCGUUGGAUUAGCUAGUUGGUAGGGUAAAAGCCUACCAAGGCGACGAUUCAUAGCUGGUCUGAGAGGAUGGUCAGCCACACUGGGACUGAGACGCGGCCCAGAAUCCUACGGGAGGCAGCAGUGGGGAAUAUUGGAAAAUGGGCGAAGGCCUGAUCCAGCAAGGCCGCGUGAGUGAUGAAGGCCUUAGGGUUGUAAAGCUCUUUUACCCGGGAUGAUAAUGACAGUACCGGGAGAAUAAGCUCCGGCUAACUCCGUG
rnacentral:rRNA from 1 species